UUUUUUUAUAUAUAUAGCUUAGUAUCGUUAAACUCGAGAAAAGAAUUCAUGUUAAAUAUGAAUGAAUUUGUUAAUGAUUAAGAAUGGAGAUGAAAUUUGUCUAGUUUCUUCUUCUUUCUUCUUUUUUCUUCUUCUUCUUCUUCUUCUUCUUCUUCUUCUUUUCUUCAUAUAAUUAUUAUUAUUAUCAUCAUUAUUAUCAUUGACGGGGAAUUGUCAUGAUGGACAUGCAUAUAUAUAUAUAUUUAUGAUCGUACGAUCUAACUAUACGUAUCAUUGGCGGUUUAACAAUACAUAUACGAUGACAUUUACCUCAGUGAUAUAGUACCUAUUUCUUUGUAUCAAGACUAAUGAUGUUCUUAUUCUUGACAGAUAGUUUAUAUCUAAUUAUACUGAUAAAGAUGAUGAAAGAAGACGAUGAAUAACGAUAAAGAACAAAGGAAAGAAGAAAAAACGCGUAUUAGAGAUAGAAUCGGCGUUACUCAUUACACGCAUAGAUAUAUAACGUGCGAUACUUAAAUGAAUGAAUAAAUAAAUAAACAAAUAAUUAAUUAAUUAAUUAAUUAAAUAAAUGAAUAACUAAUGAAUAAUGAAUGAAUGAAUGAAUAAGUAAAUAAAUGAAGAGAAAGAGAUAAAAAUAAAAUAAAGUGAAAUAAAUGAAAAUAAAUUAAUGAUAAAUAAAUAAAUAUAAAUAGAAAUAGAAAUAUCGAACAUCGGUUAAGAUCGACAAUGAGAAAUUUUUUGUGAAAUCUAAUAUGUUAGAUCGCGACGUACAUACAAAGACGUAACUAGACAUUACACAGGCCACCCACACACAUACACACACACACACACACACACACACAUUAACGUAAAAAGAGACUAUAAUAAAGAGGUGACGAUAAAUAAUUCAUACGAAUGAUCUCUUAUAAUUAACGUGGUAAUUCGUUAAUAUUAACAUUACUUGAUUCGAUAUAUAUGUAUGUAUAAAUAUAAUACAUGUAUGUAUCUAAUUACUUACGUCUAAGUCGACUCGAACGUGAACCGAGUAAAUCAUUUUCGUGAUUAACAUUUUUACGGAUCGAUCAUGGGAGAAAAAUGAAUUAGAUAACGGGAAAUCGUCUGUUCGGUGAUUUUUAUUAGAAAAAUCAGAAGGGAAGAGAGUUGAUCGAAAAUUAUUUUAUCGGAUAAUACGCGAUAUAUGACUCUACCUCAUAAUAAAGAAGAAGAAUAAAAAGUAGAAGGAAAGAGAGAGAAAAAGAAAGAAAAAAAACGACGAAAGGAAAUACGAAUUAGACAUUUCUUUUUUAAAUACUUCGUUAUGACUCGCAACGUCGUAAAAAUUCAAAUGCAAACAAUUUUUAAUUAACGAUUGCAUGAAGUCUUUACUAUCGUCUUUGAUGAUCCAAAAUGAAUGGGACACUAUAUGUACGGAUUAAUAAUUCACAUUUAUUUGAUCUUACAUUUUCAUUUGUGCUUACGUAUCUAUGUGAACUCGAGUUUAUUACUCAUAUGCAAAUUACUAAUCACUUUUUAUAUCCUUUGUACGUUGGAGUAUUUUUCUUUUUUUUUUUUCUAUUUUACAAUUUAAAUUAAAUAUUUAUCAUAAUCGUCGAUUUUCUCCUUUUCCCCCGUAAAGGGAAUAAAUGAUCGCUGGAUAUAAAAUACACAAUUUCUUCGAUGGCUCGAAAGAGAAAAAAACCGAAAAUGGAGACGAAAGGUUCGAACUCUCUUACUUAAAAGAAAGAAAAAAAAAAGUCAAAAAAAGAAAAUAAGAAAAAAAAGUUUAAAAAAAAAAGAAAACAGAAAAAACCAAACAAACCAUAAAGUGCGUUUAAGCGAAAUUCAAUUAAACAUUCAUUCUCGAUUCAAAUAGACGUAAGAAUUCAAAUCGACGCUUUACGUAUAAAACCAGAGAAAAAAGUGCUAUCAAUGGUUACGCUUACUAAUCCUUUGUAAAAUACAAUCUUUAAAUGAACAAAACAUAACAAAACAUAAUAAAACAAAACAAGACAAGACAAACAAACGAGAUAAUAGGCAGACGAAUUAAUUAAUAUACAUACAUACGAUUAUUAAUAAUUAACUUCGUGUUAUUUCUAGACUUGUGGGAGUUCCGUGUAUGGCGAUAAAAAAUGUGUUUUUAUUUCUAAUAUUUAUUAGUUAAAGACAAUCACGUUUCAGUCGUCGUCUAAUUUCGUCCUUGAGUACGUGUCAGAUGAAUAAAUAAAUAAAUAAAUAAAUAAAUAAAUAAAUAUUUAUAUAUAUACAUACAUAUUUAAAAUAACGAGAAAAACGUGAAACUUUUUUGAACGCCCACAAGAAAUUUUGCAUGAUAUGUACACACGUAUGAUUCGCGAUUAUAGUAAAUUUUUUCCGAUUAGAAUUUGAAUUGACAUUAUAUUUUCUAAAUCGGCUAUAAUACUUAAUACAUACGCGUUAAUUACAAACAUACAUAUAUAAUAUAUACAUAUAUACGACAUGUCCAUUGUAAAGGAAGUCAACUAUCAUACGUAAUCAUUUCUGCUAAUUACGUAUAACAUACCUAUUAAUUAUUAAUCUUUAUUAGGAAUAUAAAAAACAAAAUGAGAUAAAAAUGAAAAUCAUCGUUCGCAUCUAUCGAAAUAUGAGACAGAAAAAAAUGCAUGCAUGCACAAUUAUUAUUAUUAUUACUACUACUAUUAUUAUUAUUAUUAUUAUUAUUAUUAUUAUUAUUAUUAUAAAUUAUUUCAAUAUACGUAACUUGCUAAUAUUAUUAAAAAUUAUCUUCGAAUCUUUUCCAAGUAUGCACUCUGCAUAAAAUUUUUUUGUCAUUCAAUGUCUAUAUUUCGAACGUAUUCUUCUAAUAAAAUAAAAUAAAAAAGAAUAAUAUAGUAAUAAUAGUAUUAAAAAUAAUAAUAAUGCAUAGUUAUAUACACAGGGUGUCUCGUUGGAAAAGCACCAAAUUUUUCGAUUUGUCCGAAUGAGAAAGAAUUCGGAAAAUUAAAUUACGCCGUUUUAGGAUUGAUCGGAUGCUUAAAUUAAAUUUAAUUCUAAUCGCGUUUAAAUCUAAUCAAUCAUCGCUCGCUUGAAAAAUGAAAAAAAGAAAUCGGAAAAUCUUUCACUCGUAUCGUCUUAAACGACGCACGUAUUAUUAACUGUAUCAUUUGAGACAAACUAAGAAACAAAAAAAGCAAAAAAAGAAAAGAAAAGCAAAAAAAAAAAAACAAAAUACAAAAGAAAAAAGAAAAAAAGAAAUCACUUGUAACGCGUAAUUAAAGUAAAAUUACAAUUGUUAAGUCGUAUCGCGUGAUAACAGUGAUGAACGGUGGAUAACGCGAGUUAAAAAAAAAAAUGAAAAAAAGAAUCGACAACAACAACAACAAUAAUAAUAAUUAAAAAAAGAGAGCAUGGGGACGUUGAAAGAUUUCGCGAUUAAAAAAAAUAAAGAAGAAAGUAAAAAAAAAAUGAUGCAGACAAACUGUACAUAAUGAAAAGAAAUCGCUCUUUCGAACCGAAUAAGAUACCUCUUAUGCAGACGUGCCUCAAAGUGAUAAGAAAAAAAAAAAAAAAUAGAAAAAAAAAGAUAAAAAAAAAAAAGAAAAAAAAUUAAAUUCUAAGAGACACACGUGAAAGUUCAAAAACGAAAGAGCGAAGGAAAGGAAAGAACGAAAAAAGAAAGAGAGAUAGAGAGAGAGAGAGAGAGGGAGAGGGUAAUAGAAAAAUGGCGCAACAUCCGAAAAUCACCGUUGAUCACUGUUAGAAAAUGAAAAAAAAAGAAAAAGUAGAAAAAAAAGGAGACACAAAGGAGAAAUACCUAAGCGAAUCUUCCAUUUCGAGAAACUUACGUUUAGACGAUUUUUCAAUGAGUAAUAUAUUAUAAUACCAAUAAUUAUAAUAAAUAAACUUUUAAAUUAAGCGAUAAAUAUAAAAAUGAACAAAAAAAUUCUAAAAAUUUAAAAAAAGGAAAUUAAACAAAAAAAAAAAACAAAAAAAAAAGAAAAAGAAAAAGGAGAAGAAGAAGAUGAUGAUGAAAAAGUCGACUUGAUAUGAAUUUAUACGCAUUUAAACGAAGUGUCCUGGUAAAUAAUGAAUUAUAUUUAUCCCCGCGUAAGAUUAGCCUUAUCGCGUAAUCCGCGAAAUCGAUGAAUUUUCACGAAUUAGAAAUGUUUAAACGAUAGUUUUAUUCGUUCGACUGACGUUACUACGGCAACAAAAGAUAUACACGUAAUUACCUACACGUUACUUACACAUUACUCGUAUACACGCAGAUAAUAAAUUCUCAGCAAAUGCUAUAGAUACGACAGAAAGACAGACGAAUAAGAAUAAGAAUAGGAAAAGAAAAAAAAAAAGGUAUAAUACAAUAAAAUAAAAUAAAACAAAACAAAACAAAAUAAAAUAAAAUAAAAGGGAAAAUAAAAAAUUAAAAUUCUGAUAUAAAAAUUUACGCCGAUAUAUUAUAUUCGUACCGUAAUUAACGAUUUUGUUAUAAUAACGACACGCGGUAUGUGUUUUAUUAGGGACGUGAUUUAGAGAAACCAAAAAAGAAAAAAAAAGAAAAGAAAACAGCCUCUCGUACGUAAUAACAUGACACCGUAUAUUUUGUGAGAGUAGCCUACCUAUGCGUGUAUCCUUUUCGGUAUUGUAGACGUAUAGACGUGAUUUCAAAGAAACUUAAAAAGGAAAAGAAAUGAUAAAGACGGAGAGAGAGAGAGAGAGAGGGAGAGAGAGAGACAUAGAGAUAGAGAUAGAGAGAAAGACAGAAAAAGAAAAAGAGAGAAAGAGAAAGAGAGAAAAUUAAUUCAAGAGAGUCCCGAGUCCCGUUACGUAUAAAUGGAACUUUUGCGAGCAUCGAAUGAUUUUAAUUAUUUUUCGUAUAUCUUUCAUUUUCAUACUUAUAAUUAUGAAAUAGAUUAUUCUCAUAGAUUGAUCUAUGCGAUUGAAAUGGAUAAUAGAAUGAAUUUUUUACCGAGUAUCAAGAUGUAAUUUUAUAUUUAUGGCGAUCGGUGACGUCACGUAUUUUUAACAAUUACAUUGAAUGUAAAAUGUAAUAUAUUUAAUGUUCGUCGAAUAUAGAAAUUGUAAAAUCUAUGUAAUCGAUGUAUGAUGAUUGAAUUGUUCAAUUUUUCUUUUUUAUUAAUCGUUACGUUCUACCGAUCGUUCUACCGUAAGCGAUGCUUGUGAAAGGUUUCAGUAGAAAAAAAUAUAUAUAUAAGAAGAAAAAAAAAAGAAAUAAAAAUAAUUAAAUAAAAACUCUAAGAAGUACGUACAUAAGAUGAAUGAGAAAGAAAAAAAAAAGAGAAUGUUAUCCCAAAGUAUGACCAUAGCGAAAGAACAAAUGCGUGUGUGUGUGAGAGAGAGAGAGAGAGAGAGAGAGAGAAAGAGAGAGAGAGAGAGAGAGAGCGAAGAAAGAAUUUGUAAUAUCUACAUUAGAAAAAAACAGGAAAAAGGAGAAGUUUGACUCACACACGUGCAACACACACACGAAAGUUUUUAGAUAUUCGACUUACGAGAUGAUAGGAUCGGAUGCUUUACGAAUAACGACAGAAGAGAAUGACGAUGAUGAUAAAGAGAUAAGAGAGAGAGAGUGAGAGAGAGAGAGAGAGAGAGAGAGGGAGAAAGAGAGAGAGAGAGAGAGAGAGAGAGAGAGGAAAAAAAAGGAAAUCGAUGAAAAGAGAUGAAAAAAGAAAUAAAUAAGAAAAGGAAAAAAAAUGGUAUCGAUUUAGAAACAGUUAUAGGAUAUAGGUAGGUUUCGUACUUCGUAUUUAAUGAACAUUAUUAUAUAUCAAAUAUAUAACAUGUACCGAAGAUGGAGACAAGAAUGGGAAAUAAACUAUUGUAUCCGAGUAAAAGAAAA